rnacentral:lncRNA from 1 species
AUGGGCUGUGUGCUCUUGACAUUGCUGCCAUGGCUGUGGAGCAGAGGAGCUACUGGGCUGUGCAUCACACGCACACCUGGACCUUUGCAACUCCACGCAGCAUUCAAGGAAUGUGCAUAUGAAAAGGAAAGGCACUUCAAGCUUCUCGCUGCUGUAAGAGGGGCGCUUUCAUUUACAUCACUGGAAUGUAGAAGUAGUUUCAGAAGAGUCAGAUGAGGCCCAUGAGGCCACAAGUCCUCGCAGGCUCACAGCAGCAUCGAGUUAUCAUCAAUGCACUGGGUUCUGUGCGCACAGAGAGCCUCGGAGAGGCCACACGGGCACUCUGCAGACCUGGGGAAAAGGCAGCCUGACAGGACCCACAUCCUGACAGGAGGACUCCCAUCGUGCCAGAAAGGAUGCAGGAAAUAAAAAGAGCUGAACUCCAAUGCACGUCUCAAUUUGGGUGUUUCAAAAUGGGCACUAUGUUGAGCGAGCAUCUUUUGAGUAGUGGAUACUUUUGUUUGGGGAAAUGAAGCCUGUGUGCUGCAAGAACAACAACUGCUGGUGUAUGUACACCUGAGGACUAACAGCCCCUGCCUGCUGCCUCUAAGUACCAGGAAUGCUCCCUGGACACGAGUGCUGCCCACAAGGCCCAGAGUCACCAAGCUGCACUUGAGAAAGAUUACACUGCUUGAGCACAGGCUAAUGCCAGCAUCUGGUGAAUGAGAAGACAUUUUUUACUUAAGUAUUUACCCAAGAGAAAAUUCUGACAUUUCUGAAUUUCUGCCUUAAUGUAGAACAAGAAGGCAGCAUUUCUAAAUUUCCUCCUAAUUUCCCACAAACCUCAGGGAGUAAAGAUUUUGAACAGUUCGACCUAAUGUAAUAAUGCAUAGCAAUACAUAAAGUUAUCUACAAAAAUAAAAUAUGAUAUGCAAAUAAUAAACAUGAAGGGUUUUUUUAGGUAUCAACAGUUUAAAGGUAAUUACUGGAACACUGAACAUACUGACAUCUAGGAGGGCUGUGCAAGGUGAUUCUGAGAAAAGGGAAGUAGAAAUUUAUCUGAGUUAACACCCAAAAUAAAACCGCAUUGCUUAGUGCUACUUCUGCUACUGUAAGAAGUAACAAAGUAGAACUCAUCAUUACCUUAUGACAUUUCUUUUAAUGUUAGUUAAAUGGAGGAGAUUCCAAAGUUUCUCAAUGGUGUUUCUUCUGCCAAUACACAAACACAUGUACUAUUUAUAAAAAUCAAUACUAAAAAAGAGAGGAACCAAUCCUAAAAGAUCCUGACAAAUACCAUGGAUGCCUGUUCCACAUUUUAUUGCAUGGUAAACUGCUGCUACAAUUUCUCAGCAGGAAUCAUCAAUACAGACCCAAGAGACCAGAUGACAUCUUUGUGAGUGGCUAUUUAUCUCUAUCUCACCUAUGUCAGGAAAAUUUGUAUUAAAAGCAUAACAAAUGAUUCUUGAAUUUGUAAUAUCUAAUUCAUGUGAUAUAACU